rnacentral:hammerhead_ribozyme from 1 species
AUCCAGCUGAUUAGUCCCAAAUAGGACGAAAACGCGCAUCAAACUGGAU